GUGACGUAUCUUUAACGUUAGUUGAAAAAUUCGUCGAAAUUAAAUAGAUUGUAUCGGAGUCUAACGAAAGUAUGGCUUUCGAAUAUUACGAGUUUAAGAAUCAAGUAACACAAGAGAGCCUUCGUUAUUUUGACGUGACCGUUGCCACGAUCCCUUUGGGAAGCAAGCAAUAAAGUGACCACGACGUGGACGUAUAAAAGUAAAGUUAGAUGCUAGUUACAUUACGUUCGAACUCUGUUGCCCGUUCAGAGGGCUUCGACUUUCUCCCCUCGGUCCAAGAAAAUUAAGAGUAAACUUACUCGUAAGCUGACGGUGAAAUGGACGUUAUUAUGGUUUACAAAAAAUCACGAUCAGACAGUAAAAGAUCAGGAAAUAAUGUAUUCUACGAAAUAGAAGGAAGUUCUUCAAUUUAAGGGUUGUUUAUUUUCUUAAAGAAAACUUAAAUUUCGAAGAAUUUUUCAGUUGUUAUCAAGAAAUUCAUAUUUAUGAAGGAAACACGUUGAAAACAAAAAAAUAUAUAUAUAUGCGAAGAGAAGGGGAAAGGUAAUUUGUAUAAUCCAAAGUAUCGUAACGCCUUCCUCUUUCUUUUCUUUUCUUCCUUUAUUGCUUUCUACGAGAAAAGAAUCGCUUCGCGAAGAAUCCUGUCGGGGUUAAGAUCGAUCCUAAUGCUUCUUUAAUUCGUUAUUUCACGAGUUGGAAAGUCAGAGACGAGAUCGUUCGACGAUAGGUCGAUCGGAAGUUGGUUUGAACGCGUUAAAGUCCGGCUUGCUCUUGCGGCACGCUUUUCGUUGGGUAAAUUGCCUUCUUGUCGCUAAGCCACCGAGCAGACAAGAGUUCCAUUCUGCGCUUGAUAGGUGUAAUUACAAAAGUUUUAGCCGCUAUAAACGCGCAGCUUCCAACGGAUCUAAUGACGUUUCUAUUACGGCUUUAGUAAUGAUUUACUAAGCAAUAAAAAAGAUUCCACACAAUUACCUUGGACCCCCGAGUAUGUGAGACGAAGCGUCACGUUGCCAAUAAAUAUCUAAACUUUUCACGUCACGUUUUAAACUUCACUUCGAUGCUUCUCUUGCGUCACCACGACGUGGCACGUACCUAAGUAUCGCGUCGUUAAUUCUGUUUUCCUCGAUGAAAAUCAAUCUCUUGCGCUUUUCACCUACGUCAUCUUGUGUAAGCCGUCGGGUCGCAUCGUAAGACAAAGAAGAAAUUCCACGCACGAGACGUGAGCAGAAAAUUUAGGGCGUUUCACCCUCGAAGACCUUUUCGUUCUAGUUUCGAGAACCUUCGUGUGGAAUUAUCCUCUUCUUCCGAAGAUGCACUCUCGAGAUGGAGCACGAGGAGAGGCAGGAAAGUUAAAUAGAAAAAAGAAAGAGGCAGCACUUUCGUUGACCUAAGAAGAACAAGAAGUAAAAGUAGAAGAAGAAGAAGAAGAAGAAGAGGAAGAAGAAGAAGAAGAAGAAGAAAAAGAAGUAGAACAAGAAGAACAAGAAGCAGAAGAAGCAGAAGAAGGGGGGAUCGGACGAGCGGCCUGAUGGAAGGAUCCGAUGGAAAGAAACAGAUGGAAGUUGGAGCUCGAUGCAGCUUCUUACCUGAUUGCAUUUCGUCCCAUCGGCUGUUUCUCGCGAUUUUCUCGGCGACUUUCCUGCGAUCGUUUUCUUGCGAGUAAAAAAAAAAGAAAAGAAAAGAAAAAAUAAGAAAGAAAAAUAAGAAGAAAGAAAGUCGGAAAAAGAAAAAGAAUGAAAAGGAUAAGAGAAGGAAGAAGGAAAAAGUAGAGAGGAGGAGUAUAAGAGACGGAAGAAACGUUCGUUCAUAUAAAGGAUACUUGGUCAUAGCGAAAAUCGUCGGGCAGUUUGUCGCCUCGUAGAAGACUAGGUUCUACUCGUCAGUUAGCAGGACUCUCGGGAGUCGAGAAUAUCGCACAAAAAAUACACAUUCAACCGUGCAAUAUUUUACGAGGCGAUCACAUACUUUUUACAUAAAUCGACGUUGCAGAAAUCUUUAAAGAAGCUUUUUCUAUCAAGUAAAAAAAAAAAAAAAAGAAAAUUAUCGGAUUCGCUAGUCACCUUUUACUUCCGUCAAGACUGGUAACGCCCGAGAGCUUUUAAACCUUCCUUCACUAGACGGAGAGAAAACGCUUUUAUCGAUGUGAAUAAGAGAAAGAAGGAAGAAAACACAAAGAGAAGGAAGAUGAGAGAAAGAGAAAGAGAAAGAGAAAAAGA